CGCGGGUGUGAGGGCGGCGGCGCGAUGCGGGCAAGGCGCGGGUUGAGGGCGGCGGCGCAGGUGAGUGUGUGCGUUUUUUUUUGAUAUUGUGACUUAGGGUUUGGGAGAAAUGGGCUGGCCGGAUGGGCUUAUUUCCUAUCUGGGCCUUUGCCGGGUGUCUGGACGAGUGGCAUCCGGGAAAAAAAAUAAUUAUUUGCCUGGUGCCUUGUUUCGUGGCACCACGCAAACAUUUAUUUGCUUGGUGACACCAGGCAAAUUAAUUUUAUAUUUUUGUUUGUUUUUGCCCUAGUUUUUUUUUGUGACCUUUGUACAGUAAUUCAAACUCACUAUCAAAAUUUGAGACAAGUUUCACUUUUCUAAGCAUAUUUGGUUAAUUUUUUUUUUCUUUCGUUGCAUUUUUCGGACGACUCCAAAGUUGAACUACAGGUACAUGAAAUAAUGCACGCCUUUGCCGGGUGUCUGGACGAGUGGCAUCCGGGAAAAAAAAUAAUUAUUUGCCUGGUGCCUUGUUUCGUGGCACCACGCAAACAUUUAUUUGCCU
rnacentral:lncRNA from 1 species